UUUAUUGGAGAGUUUGAUCCUGGCUCAGGAUGAACGCUGGCGGCGUGCCUAAUACAUGCAAGUCGAGCGAAUGGAUUAAGAGCUUGCUCUUAUGAAGUUAGCGGCGGACGGGUGAGUAACACGUGGGUAACCUACCCAUAAGACUGGGAUAACUCCGGGAAACCGGGGCUAAUACCGGAUAAUAUUUUGAA
rnacentral:rRNA from 1 species